CUUCGGAGAAGGCAAUGACACCCCACUCCAGUACUGUUGCCUGGAAAAUCUCAUGGAUGGAGGAGCCUGACCUUCACAGCUGUAAUCCUGAUUUCUUCAUCUUAAAGAACCAUCUUAAACAUCAUCAAUGUUUAAUAUGAGCAACACAAAUAGAUGGGCACAGAAGAGCUAAAUAUUGACACCCAGCAAAGCAAGGGGAUGAAGCUGCAGGCCUCUGUUGUCGCUCAGGGCACUUGCCCCGGCCAGCCUGAUGCAGGAUGAGAAAUGCGGAUGAGAGCAAUUGCCCCAGUGAAGAGUCAGCUGAUUUCAGAUGUGUGACUAAACACAGGUCCAUUCAACACUGUCAUAUGGCCAGCCCCAGUUGACGGCACUUGUGAAUGUUAC
ensembl:lncRNA